rnacentral:rRNA from 1 species
CAAAAACAUCGCCUCUUGAUUAAAAAUAAGAGGUCCAGCCUGCCCAGUGACAAAUGUUCAACGGCCGCGGUAUCCUAACCGUGCGAAGGUAGCGUAAUCACUUGUUCUUUAAAUGGGGACUAGUAUGAACGGCAUCACGAGGGUUACACUGUCUCCUCUAUCUAAUCAGUGAAACUAAUCUCCCCGUGAAGAAGCGGGGAUUAAUAUAUAAGACGAGAAGACCCUAUGGAGCUUUAAACUUCUCUUAAAGCACUAAACUUUUACUCUAAGUCACUGACCUCUGCCACAUUCACCACGGCGCUAUCAAGAUGAAUUUUAGGUUGGGGUGACCACGGAGUACAAAAAAACCUCCACGCUGAACAGGCCUCCUAACCCUUGAGCAAAGGGCCACAACCCAAAGCACUAAAAAACUAACACCCAUUGACCCAAUUUUAUAUGAUCAACGAACCAAGUUACCCUAGGGAUAACAGCGCAAUCUACUUCAAGAGUUCUUAUCGACAAGUAGGUUUACGACCUCGAUGUUGGAUCAGGGUGUCCCAGUGGUGCAGCCGCUACUAAAGGUUCGUUUGUUCAACGAUUAAUAACCCUACGUGAUCUGA